GACGAACGCUGGCGGCGUGCUUAACACAUGCAAGUGGUGCGACGAACCAGGCUUCGGCCUGGGGCGAAGCCGCGAACGGGUGAGUAACACGUGGGCAAUCUGCCCCUUUGAUCGGGACAACCCGGGGAAACCCGGGCUAAUACCGAAUGAGGUGGCGACUCAUGAGAGUCGUCACGACAGGAAGCUUCGGCCUCCGCGAAGGGAUGAGCCCGCGGCCCAUUAGCUUGUUGGUGAGGUAAUGGCUCACCAAGGCGACGACGGGUAGCCGGCCGGAGAGGGCGACCGGCCACACUGGGACUGAGACACGGCCCAGACUCCUACGGGAGGCAGCAGUGGGGAAUAUUGGGCAAUGGAGGAAACUCUGACCCAGCGACGCCGCGCGCGGGAUGAAGGCCUUCGGGUUGUAAACCGCUUUCAGCAGGGAAGAAGCGAAAGUGACGGUACCUGCAGAAGAAGCACCGGCUAACUAUGUGCCAGCAGCCGCCAUAA
rnacentral:rRNA from 1 species